rnacentral:rRNA from 1 species
ACAAGCGGUGGAGCAUGUGGUUUAAUUUCGAAGCAACGCGCAGAACCUUUACCAACCCUUGACAUGGGUAUUCGCGGAUCCAGAGAUGGAUCUUUCAGUUCGGCUGGGAUACCACACAGGUGCUGCAUGGCUGUCGUCAGCUCGUGUCGUGAGAUGUUCGGUUAAGUCCGGCAACGAGCGCAACCCACACUCUUAGUUGCCAUCAUUCAGUUGGGCACUCUAGGAGAACUGCCGGUGAUAAGCCGGAGGAAGGUGUGGAUGACGUCAAGUCCUCAUGGCCCUUACGGGUUGGGCUACACACGUGCUACAAUGGUGGUGACAAUGGGUUAAUCCCAAAAAGCCAUCUCAGUUCGGAUUGGGGUCUGCAACUCGACCCCAUGAAGUCGGAAUCGCUAGUAAUCGCGUAACAGCAUGACGCGGUGAAUACGUUCCCGGGCCUU